GAUGCAAGCGUUGUCCGGAUUUAUUGGGCGUAAAGAGUUCGUAGGCGGUUUGUUAAGUCUGAUGUUAAAGACCGGGGCUCAACCUCGGAAAUGCAUUGGAUACUGGCAGACUGGAGUGCAGUAGAGGCUAGUGGAAUUCCCAGUGUAGCGGUGAAAUGCGUAGAUAUUGGGAAGAACACCGGUGGCGUAGGCGACUAGCUGGGCUGUAACUGACGCUGAGGAACGAAAGCCAGGGGAGCAAAUGGGAUUAGAUACCCCAGUAGUCCUGGCCGUAAACGAUGGAUACUAGGCGUAGUGGGUAUCGACCCCUGCUGUGCCGCAGCUAACGCGAUAAGUAUCCCGCCUGAGUAGUACGGCCGCAAGGUUGAAACUCAAAGGAAUUGACGGGGGCCCGCACAAGCGGUGGAACAUGUGGUUUAAUUCGAAGCAACGCGAAGAACCUUACCAGGGCUUGACAUCUGUGGAAUCUUUCGGAAACGAGAGAGUGCUCGCAAGAGAGCCACAAGACAGGUGGUGCAUGGCUGUCGUCAGCUCG
rnacentral:rRNA from 1 species